rnacentral:rRNA from 1 species
GUCGCAAGCUUACCCUGUGAAGGACCCAUAGUAAGCAAAAUGGGUAAAACCCAAAACGUCAGGUCGAGGUGUAGCUUACGAGGUGGGAAGAAAUGGGCUACAUUUUCUAUAUCAGAAUACACGAACAGCACCAUGAAAUUAGUGCUUGAAGGUGGAUUUAGCAGUAAAAGAUAAACAGAGCGUAUUUUUGAAUCAGGCUCUGAGACGCGCACACACCGCCCGUCACUCUCCCCAACCCAAUAAAUUCAAGUAAAUAACCAACCAUACUUCAAAACGGGGAGGCAAGUCGUAACAUGG